UAUGCUAUUACAUUUAAAAAUAUAGAACAAUAACUCUCUGGCAAACAUCUAAUCCUGCUAACAAGAAUACAUGAUAAUGUGCAAGCCCCCACGCAAAUACAGAUGACACAUGUGCAACUGAAUGUUUAAGUCGCAACCCACUGAAUUAGUGUUCCAAAUCUAGCGGAAGACAUGAAGAGUAUGAAGCAGUAUACUUUGUGAUUAAUAUUCAUGUGCAUCAUCAUUUGAAAAAUGGUAAUUGGCCAUACUGUUAUAAUGUCGUAGGAUAUGUUAGAAUCAAGUGAAAAACACGUUUAUUUCAUUGUAGGUCGACAUACGACAAUUUAAAUUGUAAUUACUAAUGUCACUUCGAAGAUGUCGUUGAAAACUGAGCAUGAUUCAUAGACAAGGUUAGAAUUCACUUUUCACACGGAUCCGUCGAUAAACUAUGUAUUAUAUUAUACUGCUAUAACGUGGUAAUAUACCUCUCAGGACAAAUGGUAUUAAAUAUGACAAAUUGCAUUGAACACAUAAACGACGAUUAUAUAGUCUGCAGUUAUUAUACGCAUUUGUAAUCUAAGGGAUUGAGAUAAUCGCUGAUGCAACAAAUCUGGGCCAUUCUGAUUUACAGCUCUGAUGCACAGGAUAUGUACAAGGAAAUAUACAUUAGACAGCAUGGCCGAGGCCAGGGCUGGAGAUACGUAAACGUUUGGAUCAAAUUUGCUACUUGGAAAAAAAAAUGUUAUACAGCUCUCUCUCUCUGUGUGUGUUUGUGUGUGUGUGUGUGUAUGUGUGUGUGUGUGUACAUGUGUGUGUGAUGAAAGAGACAGAGAGAGAGGGAGAGGGAGCGAGAGAGAUUUAACUCAUUAUAAUGCAUAGAAAGACCUGCCCUCUUUUGAAAAAAAGGGAAAGAAACGCAGCCAUGCUUUGCAGGGACCUGAGCCUCUGAGUCACUGCUAGAUAGACCAAGGCGUUUCACGGAGGCUUACGAUGGUGCAUCCCCUCACCAAAAGACCGGGAAUACAAUUUAUUUCUUGCGCAGCAAUCAAAUCUCGAAGUAUUUUGAAGACUAAAUAUAAAGAGGAGUAGAUUUCGGGCGAUAUCACGGGAGCGACCAUCGUAAACGGCGAGGAACGUAUGGACGUGCAAGAGGAGGAUUACAGAAUUUUGCCUUUUUGGGGGACAAAGCAGAUAUCCUUUGAAGCAGAUCAAAUGGUCCAUCCCCUUUCCUUUCUCAAGCGGAAUUCGGGGUGGCUAUCAUUUUGAAUCUAGCUCCAAAAAAUCUGCCACCGGUGACGACUUUAACCCCUUGCUCUCCACUUGCCGUGGUACGGGACCAAAGCACGCAGUGUGCUCUGGAAUAUUUAUUUGCUUGUUUAUUCUUGUUUUAUAUUUUUUGUUAAUAGCAGAAACAUUUCAUCUUCUCUUUUCAUGCUCGAUUGGAGAUUUUAUUCACCAGGAUAUCAUUUUGAAAACAUGAAUUUUGAAACAAAAAUCACAUUAUUUUUGUACUUCAGUCGCUUAACGCCCACACAUAUUCAGCAACAUUUAAUAUGAAAUAAAUAAUAAUAAUUAAAAAAACAGUUCAUCUCUUUGGGCGACGCAUUACAUAAGUGGCGUUAAGAAAUGACGACUGACGCAUUGAGUACUGCGACGGUUAAAGAGAGGACAGCAGAAGUAGUGUUUGACAGUAUUAGUAUUUCAAUUAAGGUUUUGUUUCUGUUUAUGAUUUGAGACUCUAGCUCUCCGUGUUCACAGCGGACCUUGAUUUAAUGUCUUACAAUUAAGGCACGCGGUGAAUGCCAAGAGCGGAGCCUUCUCCCAUCAGUACAUAUCGCCACCGUUUUCUUGGAUUCAAAAAAAAAUAUGCAUUCUGUCAGGUAUGGGAUUUCAAUAUGAUGUUUUUUUCUAACUGGUGCACUGGAAAUCAUAAACAAUAAAACCAAUCAAUGACGUAUCAAA